AAAUAUAGUAUCAAACCAGACCGUACUGGUGCGUUGUGAGUGAACAGAUAUUGGAGAUGUUACUCGUUUUAAAAGUAUUUGUGUUCGUGAUUAUCCGUGUUUUGUGCGGUUAGAUUACAUUUUGAAGUGAAAUUCGCAUUAUUUCAACUGACGUGUGUAAUAAGUGUGAUUAGUGGCAUACAAGUAGCAGUCUCUACAUCGAAUUUGCCCAGAGUCCACGGCCACAACUCAAAGAUACCACGACUGGUGAAGGCAAACAAUGAAAAGCAACAACCAUUAUCCGAUGAGCCUGAGGCCGACGAGUUUGCCGGAGACGUGGAGGAGCCCGACAGCGCCGCGGACUCCGGCACCGACGUCGGACUCCUGGACGACAAUGACGGCCCGCAUGGUAACACAAAUUACAUUCCCUGCCCAUACCCUC